UUUCAGAAUGUCCCAAUACAAUAUCCACAGCCCAAGAAUGAAAGAGCAGAGCCCAUGCAAGUCACUGGGUCUUCCAGGACAUCCCCUGAUCGUAAUACUAUGGCAAGAGUUUCUGACAUCCUGCCACCAGAACAAGAGCAUGCAAAAGUGGUGACGCGUUUCGAAGGGCGGGACCCCCUCUUCGUCAGGCUUCGUGCCAGCUGAGAACGGGACCGGUGCCGGCUGCACUCCAUACUGCACAACAGCAAGUGGUAUCAAGUCUACUAUGGUGUUGUGCUCAAAGUACAACACCACCAGCGCACACCUCAUGGCUCCCCGGCUCCAGGACGCGGCUCGUACAUUAUUCCUUCUCAUUAAAGCCGCAGUUAAUCAGAUGCAUAAAUAAUCUGGAGGAGGCCGGGACGUGGAUUAAUGUUUAUUACAUGA